UUGAACCUCCUGCACCCCAUGGUUUAUUUUUUAAAAACCUACAUCUGUAAAUAUGUAGUUACAAUUGCUUUCCAGCAUCUGACAUAGCAGAGUAGUCAGGUUUCUUAUUACCAGUUUUUCAGCAGUCUGGGUAAUUGCGUAUGAAAAUGUGCACAUAAUGAUUAAAAUAAAAUCAGGGUC